rnacentral:rRNA from 1 species
AGAGUUUGAUCCUGGCUCAGAACGAACGCUGGCGGCAGGCUUAACACAUGCAAGUCGAACGCUCGUAGCAAUACGGGAGUGGCGGACGGGUGAGUAACGCGUGGGAACGUGCCCUGAGGUACGGAAUAACUGCGGGAAACUGCAGCUAAUACCGUAUGAGCCCCGCAAGGGGGAAAGAUUUAUCGCCUUAGGAGCGGCCCGCGUCGGAUUAGCUAGUUGGUGGGGUAACGGCUUACCAAGGCUUCGAUCCGUAGCUGGUCUGAGAGGACGAUCAGCCACACUGGGACUGAGACACGGCCCAGACUCCUACGGGAGGCAGCAGUGGGGAAUCUUGCGCAAUGGGGGCAACCCUGACGCAGCCAUGCCGCGUGAAUGAUGAAGGCCUUAGGGUUGUAAAGUUCUUUUGCCCGUGACGAUGAUGACGGUAACGGAGAAUAG